rnacentral:snoRNA from 1 species
AUCCCAUGAUUUGUACACUUCCUCAUCAACUCCUUAAAUCUAUUCCAUGCCUCUUGAUAGCUUUCCCCAUCUCUCGGCUAAAAGGUUUGAAUUUCUAGUCUGAUUUU